AACAAAUGUCAUUCAAGAACAUAUAUAACCAAAAAUGUUCAGAAACUUAUUGCAGUAUUUUAAUUAAUCUGCCAAAAUCAAAAGUGUCAAAAAGAUGAAAAGUACCAAAGAACUGCUGCAAGUAAUUAAAAAAUCAGUGCUUACAUUAUAAAGCAUUUAAUAACUAUUAUAGAAAUUUCUAUUUUUGAAUUGAAAAUGUAUUUUUAUAACUGUGUUUGUCUUCUUUGUUGGAGCUAUAGAUAGCUAUAUGGUAUAAUCAUUGUAAAAGUUAUAUGUGUAGAUCUAAUAGUUUAUGUACCUUAAAUUUGGUUGUAUUUUGGGUUCUGCCUCAUGUUAGAGAAAACAUAGGAUUAGUUCAUGUUGCAAUUAGAAAAAAAUAAUAUAUUUACACAAAUUAUAAAAAAAAAGAUAUGAUUUGCAUUUGUCUAACAUUUGUCAUUGUUAUAUAUAACCUACAGGUGGAUUAUGUAUGGAAAUUUGUUGACUGUAUUUGAUCAGAAUUUAUGCUAGUCUUUAGAAACUUUUCUAGUCUAUCUAAUCUAUAUUUCUGGUCAGAUUGAUCUUAUUGUUGUUGGGUUUUACUUCAGUAUUUCUUAUUUUAAAAAAGGGUCCGUUGUUAUAGGCUCUCAUUCAACGAUCUGAAACAAAACGGGAUUUUGUGUUAAAAAUGUUUUGGAAUUUUUCUAAACAAAUUUAAUAUUAUUUGAUCUGAAUAUAGCAUUUUGAGGUUUGAAUAUCUGCAUUGUGUUUUAUUACCAAAGUAGGUAGAGCCUAUUCAUUGAAAAAAACGAUAAAUAUCCAGAUUAUUUAUAGAAUUUAUAAAAAAUCAAUCGCCCAAUAUUCCUUUCUAUAUAAGUAUGUUAAUAAACUUUAUUCAAAUUACUUUUCUCUGACUUACUUGUGAAUCUGAAGCUAUCCAUGACCUAUUGGAUGCCGGUCAAGAUCUAUUUUAAGAUUGUAUUUGCUUUACAAUACAAUGUGUACAAUAAUGCAAAUUAUGUCCUUUGUAAUGUCAUAUAGUUGAAUUAUAUAUAUAAGGUUGUAAUUAGAUAAUUUAUUGACUGUGUUAAUAUGCGAAAGAUGUUUUUGUGAUAAAUUUGUUGUUUGUAGAAAAACAAUUUUAUAAUUCUUGUUGUGUUUUAAUAAAUUCUAACUGUUACUUUCUGUGAUGUAGAUAUACUUGUUUUUUUAUCUGACGCUUUUGUAAAAGAAAAUGUGAGAACCUUUCAUAGAAGUAGCAUUUUUUGUCUACCUCUCCUUCAUUUAGAUUCUUACAUGAGUUCAUCUGAAUACCAAGCAUUAUAAUUUGUAUUAUAGCCCAUGCUGCAAAGUAACUGGUGUAUAUUACCUGUCCUUCAUUUAGACAGUCUGUCAGUCAUUUUAGGUUUUCAAUUAUAAAUCAAAUAUUUUACAUGGUAUUGUAACCUUACUUGGAUAUAUGGUCACUUCAUCCCUUUUGAUAACAAAGUCAUUAGGUCGAAGUUUAAGGUCAAGGCUACUAAACAUAUAGAUUUGUGUAAGAUAUUACUGUCUGAAAACAGGAAAAAAAUCUUAACUUAGAUAAAAUAUGCCAUAAAGUUACUAUAAUCUGUUCCUUUGUAGAAGUAUGUUGAGGUAUAUAAGCUUGUUCAAUUAAGGUUCUUUAAUUAAGGAAUGACUGUAAUAUUUUUUCUGCUUAUGAAGAAAUAACAUAAAAAAUUUGGUGCACACUGAAUAACGCACGUAGCGGGUUAUUUAACAGUGUGCACCACAUUUUUUAUGUUAUUUCGAAUAGACAGAAAAAUAAUAUUACAGUCAUUUCUUAUAAUUUAAUUCUUAAUUCAAUUUUAAACCGUAAAAACCUUGAAAAAACAUUGAUGACGUCACGGUCACAUGACUAAAUUAUGUCUAUGGUCUGAUAACAAAAUAACGUCGGCCAAUCAGAAGACGCGUUUCAUCCAAAAUUAAAUUAUUUUCGGAUAUUGAUAAGAACCAUAAUAUUUAUACGAAAAUUCAAACAGAUUGUUUCCAACUUUACAGGAAAUUG
rnacentral:lncRNA from 1 species